rnacentral:rRNA from 1 species
UACGUAGGGUGCAAGGCGUUGUCCGGAAUUCAUUGGGCGUAAAGAGCUCGUAGGCGGUUUGUCGCGUCUGCUGUGAAAACCCGAGGCUCAACCUCGGGCCUGCAGUGGGUACGGGCAGACUAGAGUGCGGUAGGGGAGAUUGGAAUUCCUGGUGUAGCGGUGGAAUGCGCAGAUAUCAGGAGGAACACCGAUGGCGAAGGCAGAUCUCUGGGCCGUAACUGACGCUGAGGAGCGAAAGCAUGGGGAGCGAACAGG